rnacentral:rRNA from 1 species
AAAUUGAAGAGUUUGAUCAUGGCUCAGAUUGAACGCUGGCGGCAGGCCUAACACAUGCAAGUCGAACGGUAACAGGAAGCAGCUUGCUGCUUUGCUGACGAGUGGCGGACGGGUGAGUAAUGUCUGGGAAACUGCCUGAUGGAGGGGGAUAACUACUGGAAACGGUAGCUAAUACCGCAUAACGUCGCAAGACCAAAGAGGGGGACCUUCGGGCCUCUUGCCAUCGGAUGUGCCCAGAUGGGAUUAGCUAGUAGGUGGGGUAACGGCUCACCUAGGCGACGAUCCCUAGCUGGUCUGAGAGGAUGACCAGCCACACUGGAACUGAGACACGGUCCAGACUCCUACGGGAGGCAGCAGUGGGGAAUAUUGCACAAUGGGCGCAAGCCUGAUGCAGCCAUGCCGCGUGUAUGAAGAAGGCCUUCGGGUUGUAAAGUACUUUCAGCGGGGAGGAAGGGAGUAAAGUUAAUACCUUUACUCAUUGACGUUACCCGCAGAAGAAGCACCGGCUAACUCCGUGCCAGCAGCCGCGGUAAUACGGAGGGUGCAAGCGUUAAUCGGAAUUACUGGGCGUAAAGCGCACGCAGGCGGUUUGUUAAGUCAGAUGUGAAAUCCCCGGGCUCAACCUGGGAACUGCAUCUGAUACUGGCAAGCUUGAGUCUCGUAGAGGGGGGUAGAAUUCCAGGUGUAGCGGUGAAAUGCGUAGAGAUCUGGAGGAAUACCGGUGGCGAAGGCGGCCCCCUGGACGAAGACUGACGCUCAGGUGCGAAAGCGUGGGGAGCAAACAGGAUUAGAUACCCUGGUAGUCCACGCCGUAAACGAUGUCGACUUGGAGGUUGUGCCCUUGAGGCGUGGCUUCCGGAGCUAACGCGUUAAGUCGACCGCCUGGGGAGUACGGCCGCAAGGUUAAAACUCAAAUGAAUUGACGGGGGCCCGCACAAGCGGUGGAGCAUGUGGUUUAAUUCGAUGCAACGCGAAGAACCUUACCUGGUCUUGACAUCCACGGAAGUUUUCAGAGAUGAGAAUGUGCCUUCGGGAACCGUGAGACAGGUGCUGCAUGGCUGUCGUCAGCUCGUGUUGUGAAAUGUUGGGUUAAGUCCCGCAACGAGCGCAACCCUUAUCCUUUGUUGCCAGCGGUCCGGCCGGGAACUCAAAGGAGACUGCCAGUGAUAAACUGGAGGAAGGUGGGGAUGACGUCAAGUCAUCAUGGCCCUUACGACCAGGGCUACACACGUGCUACAAUGGCGCAUACAAAGAGAAGCGACCUCGCGAGAGCAAGCGGACCUCAUAAAGUGCGUCGUAGUCCGGAUUGGAGUCUGCAACUCGACUCCAUGAAGUCGGAAUCGCUAGUAAUCGUGGAUCAGAAUGCCACGGUGAAUACGUUCCCGGGCCUUGUACACACCGCCCGUCACACCAUGGGAGUGGGUUGCAAAAGAAGUAGGUAGCUUAACCUUCGGGAGGGCGCUUACCACUUUGUGAUUCAUGACUGGGGUGAAGUCGUAACAAGGUAACCGUAGGGGAACCUGCGGUUGGAUCACCUCCUUACCUUAAAGAAGC